CGAACGCUGGCGGCGUGCCUAAUACAUGCAAGUAGAACGCACAGGAUACACCGUAGUUUACUACACCGUAUUCUGUGAGUUGCGAACGGGUGAGUAACGCGUAGGUAACCUGCCUGGUAGCGGGGGAUAACUAUUGGAAACGAUAGCUAAUACCGCAUAAGAACAUUUACUGCAUGGUAGAUGUUUAAAAGGUGCAAAUGCAUCACUAUCAGAUGGACCUGCGUUGUAUUAGCUAGUAGGUGAGGUAACGGCUCACCUAGGCGACGAUACAUAGCCGACCUGAGAGGGUGAUCGGCCACACUGGGACUGAGACACGGCCCAGACUCCUACGGGAGGCAGCAGUAGGGAAUCUUCGGCAAUGGGGGGAACCCUGACCGAGCAACGCCGCGUGAGUGAAGAAGGUUUUCGGAUCGUAAAGCUCUGUUGUUAAGGAAGAACGAGUGUGAGAAUGGAAAGUUCAUACUGUGACGGUACUUAACCAGAAAGGGACGGCUAACUACGUGCCAGCAGCCGCGGUA
rnacentral:rRNA from 1 species